UUUGAAAUUUUGAUGAUAAAAAAAAAGUAAAAAGAACAAUUGGAAAAGGUGAAAUUAUUGCCAAACGGGCCCCUUGUUUCCUGCCAGAAACCACAAAAUCUAAGAAGGGUUGACUUGACCCAAGAUUAUAUGUAGCUCUGCUUAGCUACUUUCCUUUACUAAAAAAUCAUCCCUUAAUUCUUUCAUUCUCAUCAAAUCAAAUGGAUACUCAAUUAGUUCGAGGAGAAUCAUCUUAUGAAGUAUUCCUCAGUUUUAGAGGUGAAGACACCCGAAAAACAUUCACCGGUCAUCUUUAUUCUAAAUUAUCUGAUGUUGGAGUUAAUACCUUCAUUGACGACGAGGAAUUGAGAAAGGGUGACGUGAUUUCAAGAGAAUUAGAGAAAGCAAUUGAAGAGUCAAGAAUUUCCAUUAUUGUUUUCUCAAGAAAUUAUGCUUCCUCUAGUUGGUGUCUAAAUGAACUAGUUAAAAUUCUUGAAUGCAAAGAGAAACUAAAGCAGAUGGUUUUGCCUAUUUUCUAUGAUGUUGAUCCUUCUGAAGUGAGAAAGCAAACUGGGUUAUUUGGUGAAUAUUUGGCUAAACACAAGGAACGACCAUUUGGAGCUCAAAGGGUGGAGAAAUGGAGAGCUGCACUUACUGAAGCUGCAAAUUUAUCUGGAUGGGAUUUGCAAAAUGUUGCUGACGGGUAUGAAUCAAAGUUUAUUGAAAAAAUUAUACAACAAGUCCUACAAGAGGUCAACCAGACACCUCUAGAUGUUGCUUGGCACCCAGUUGGUGUAGAUUAUCGUGUCAAAGAUAUAGAGUUGUUAUUGCAAAAUGAAUGUGAAGAUGAAGUUCGCAUGAUUGGUAUUCACGGAGUUGGUGGCAUAGGGAAAACAACUCUGGCAAAAGCUAUCUACAAUCGAAUGUUUCGACUCUUCGAUAGUAGCUGCUUCCUUUCGGAUGUUAGAUCAGAAGCUGAAGAAUUUGGUCUUGUCAAGCUGCAAGAGAAACUUCUUCGACAAAUUCUCAAAACUGAGGACAUCAAAGUUGGUAGUAUUGCUCAAGGCAUCAAUCUAAUCAAAGCAAGACUCGGGUCAAAGAAGGUUCUAAUUGUUCUUGAUGAUGUGGACCAUAAAAGACAGUUAGAAGCCUUAACAAGAGAAAGAAGUUGGUUUGGUUCGGAUAGUUUAAUAAUCAUUACCACCCGAGACGAGCGAUUGCUAUGUCGGCUUGGAGAAAAAGAGAGAUAUGAGGCCAAACUAUUAAAUGGCAAUGAAGCUAUGUUACUUUUUUGUUGGCAUGCUUUUGACAGUCAUUUUCCACCACAAGAUUAUGUUAAUUUGGCACACGACAUAAUCAAAUAUUCAGGUAGGUUGCCAUUAGCUCUUGUGACAUUGGGGUCACAUUUACAAGGAAGUUCUAUUGAAGAAUGGGGAUAUGAAGUCGAAAAACUAAGAGCAAUUCCUCAUAGUGAUAUCCAAAAGAUUCUCAAGAUAAGCUUUGAUGGACUCGAUAAUGAAACACAGACUGUUUUCCUCGAUAUUGCAUGCAUCUUCCAUGGGUUUGAUGAGCAUAAAGUUAAUGAAAUAUUAAAUGCAUGUGGCUUUCAUACUAGAAGUGCAAUUGCAACUUUAGUCCAAAAACACUUGCUCCGAAGAUCUUGGAAUCAUUUGUUGGUGAUGCAUGAUCUAGUGCGAGAUAUGGGAAGAGAAAUUGUUCGGAUGGAAUCACCCCCAGACCCUGGCAAACGGAGUAGAUUGUUCAUCCCUCAAGAAGUGUGUGAUGUUCUACAAGGAAAUAAAGGUUCCAAAAAUGUAGAAGCACUGAGGGUAGAUCCAGGGACAUUAAAGGGAGUGAACUUGAGCACCAAAGCAUUUGAGAAAAUGAAGAAUCUUAGGGUGCUUAUAAUCAAUGAGUUACAUAUUAGUGGAGAUUUUGGGUUGUUGUCCAAGAAUCUCAGAUGGCUGUCUUGGAAAAAAUGUCCUUUAAAAUAUAUACCAUCAAAUUUUCCAGCUGAGAAUCUUGUAGUUCUAGAUAUGCGGGAGAGUGAUAUCCAAGAAUUUCAAUUGAAUUUGCAGUGUUGUAGAAGUUUGAAGGAGCUGAAUCUCUCUCGUUGCAAGCAACUCAGAAGCACUCCAAACUUCAAUGGUUCACUGGGUCUUGAGACUUUGUAUCUCUAUGGUUGCUCAAGUCUUACGGAGAUCCAUCCAUCAAUAGGAAAUUUGUCCAGACUAAUUAAACUGUAUAUGUCUGGUUGCGAAAAACUUACGGAUCUUCCAAGCAGCAUAUGCCAGCUAAUAUCCGUUGAUUACUUGGACAUUGAUGGCUGCUCAUCUAUAAAAACACUGCCAGACAACCUUGGAGAUAUGAAAAGUCUAAGAUAUCUUUAUGCAUCUUAUACGGGUAUAAAACAAUUACCUAGAUCUAUUGAAAUGCUAAGAAAUCUUGUAACUUUGAGAGUGGAAGGUGAAAAGUUAGAGGCCAAAUGGAGUAUUUCUGGAAGAGGAGUCCAUCGGAUACAAUAUUCCUUGUCAACUUUUGUAUCCUUUCUGAGCCUUACAUACUGUAAUUUGUCCGAGGAUGAUAUUCCUAGGGAUAUUGGGAGCUUAUUCUCCUUAGAAUAUUUAGAUUUGAGUGGCAACAAUUUCUAUUAUCUACCCAUUGAUUUUUCUAAGUUACUAUUAUUGGCGGAGUUGUAUUUGAAUGACUCUGAGAAUCUUCAAACACUCCCGUCAGUAUCCAAUUUAGAAAAACUUAGAAUACUUCAAAUUAAGAAUUGCCAAAAAUUGGUCAAGAUUACAGAGUUGGACAACCUCCCUUCUAUAGAGCGAAUUAUCAUGAUGAAUUGUAGUUCUCUGCAGAAUCCAUUCAGUGAAGGCUUCUUUAGUGCACCUGCUCUAUAUGCAUCUAGAAAAGAAGAUCCAGAUAUGUGUGGAUUGGAUAUUUAUUUCCAAUGCAAUGAGAUUCCAAAAUGGUGCAGGAAUCAAGUAACAGCUUCAUCUAUUUGUUUGACUGUGCCAGCACAUAAUAAUAAGGAGUAUAACUUCUUAGGAAUGGUUCUCUGGUUUGUUUCCGACUUGUUCGAUGUAUUCCGGCAUAAUCCAUGCUUCAGGAUUAUUAUUGCUCAUAAAGAGACUUUUAUUAUGACGUGGACUGAUGAUAUUGAUGUAACUGAUGAUAUUGAUAUAACUGAUGGACACAGAGAAGUGUCAUGUGUAUAUUACAGAUCUGACUUGGAUAAACUUUUUGAUGGCGAGAUGAUAGAAGUGUGGUCGGACAACGUUACAGUAAAGAAGAUAGGGAUCCAUAUGUUAUAUUUAGACCAACAUGGUAAAGUUAUAUCUUUGCCGGGAGAUGUGGAUCAUUCUUAUUCUAAGUACCCAAAAUGAGUUUCAACAGGCUUAUCAACUCCUACUUAUGAAAGAUUAUAAGGAGCAAAGUUCUGAGUCAAGAUUACCGGUUCGGACUGAUCCUAAGUAUAGCUGCUGGCCUCAUCUGAUCGGAGACCCAAGGUAGUCCUAUUGGCGUCCGCAGGCCCUGGCGUCCCCUUCUAUAUAUUCUCUCUGUAUUGUUUCAUUUGUAUCGAAAACAGUUGUAUAUUCCUUUUAACAAAUUACUUGUAGUUAAAUCUUAGACGUUCGUGGGUUGUGACUCCAGAUUCUGGGUAGUUGUGUAAACAUAUUAAGGUUCUUAUGAAUUUCCCCACUCUUUUAACU